rnacentral:rRNA from 1 species
AGUGAACGCUGGCGGUAGGCCUAACACAUGCAAGUCGAACGGCAGCACAGUAAGAGCUUGCUCUUACGGGUGGCGAGUGGCGGACGGGUGAGGAAUACAUCGGAAUCUACUUUUUCGUGGGGGAUAACGUAGGGAAACUUACGCUAAUACCGCAUACGACCUACGGGUGAAAGCAGGGGAUCUUCGGACCUUGCGCGAUUGAAUGAGCCGAUGCCGGAUUGGCUAGUUGGGGGGGUAAAGGCCCACCAAGGCGACGAUCCGUAGCUGGUCUGAGAGGAUGAUCAGCCACACUGGAACUGAGACACGGUCCAGACUCCUACGGGAGGCAGCAGUGGGGAAUAUUGGACAAUGGGCGCAAGCCUGAUCCAGCCAUACCGCGUGGGUGAAGAAGGCCUUCGGGUUGUAAAGCCCUUUUGUUGGGAAAGAAAAGCAGCAGGUUAAUACCCCGCUGUUCUGACGGUACCCAAAGAAUAAGCACCGGCUAACUUCGUG